GAUGAAGAACGCAGCGAAAUGCGAUAAAUAAUGUGAAUUGCAGAAUUCAGUGAAUCAUCGAGUCUUUGAACGCACAUUGCGCCCCCUGGUAUUCCGGGGGGCAUGCCUGUCCGAGCGUCAUUGCUGCCCUCAAGCACGGCUUGUGUGUUGGGCCCCCGUCCCCCCCUCCCGGGGGACGGGCCCGAAAGGCAGCGGCGGCACCGCGUCCGGUCCUCGAGCGUAUGGGGCUUUGUCACCCGCUCUGUAGGCCCGGCCGGCGCCUGCCGACCACCAUCAAUCUUUUUUCCAGGUUGACCUCGGAUCAGGUAGGGAUACCCGCUGAACUUAAGCAUAUCAAUAAGCGGAGGA
rnacentral:misc_RNA from 1 species